UACGGAGGGUGCGAGCGUUGUCCGGAAUCACUGGGCGUAAAGGGCGCGUAGGCGGCCUGAUAAGUAGGGGGUGAAAUCCUGCGGCUUAACCGCAGGGCUGCCUUCUAAACUGUCAGGCUAGAGCACAGUAGAGGCAGGUGGAAUUCCCGGUGUAGCGGUGGAAUGCGUAGAGAUCGGGAAGAACACCAGUGGCGAAGGCGGCCUGCUGGGCUGUUGCUGACGCUGAGGCGCGACAGCGUGGGGAGCAAACAGG
rnacentral:rRNA from 1 species